rnacentral:rRNA from 1 species
GACGAACGCUGGCGGCGUGCUUAACACAUGCAAGUCGAACGGAAAGGCCCCCAUCUUGGUGGGGGUGCUCGAGUGGCGAACGGGUGAGUAACACGUGGGUGAUCUGCCCUGUACUUCGGGAUAAGCUUGGGAAACUGGGUCUAAUACCGGAUAGGACCAUGGUUUAGUGUCUCAUGGUGGAAAGAUUAUUGUUUUGGUGCAGGAUGAGCUCGCGGCCUAUCAGCUUGUUGGUGGGGUAAUGGCCUACCAAGGCGUCGACGGGUAGCCGGCCUGAGAGGGUGGACGGCCACAUUGGGACUGAGAUACGGCCCAGACUCCUACGGGAGGCGGCAGUGGGGAAUAUUGCACAAUGGGCGCAAGCCUGAUGCAGCGACGCCGCGUGGGGGAUGACGGCCUUCGGGUUGUAAACUCCUUUCGUUAGGGACGAAGCCACGCUUGUUGGGUGUGGUGACGGUACCUUUGUUAAGAAGCACCGGCUAACUACGUG